AUUAACCAUUAAACGGUUGAAAAGCUUGAAGUUUUUUCAUCGCCAUUUUGAAAGUUACGUGAAGCAAACCGAACGCGUUUCGCAAAAUCUUUUUUUCGCACGGAUAGAAUAAAAUUCCAAAUAAAUAUAUACCUGUGGUUCGGGUGUGCGUGGAGAGAUUCUGAAAGUGCACCAGUUGGAAGAAUCCGCAAGAGUCCGGAUUCAGUUCCGGUGAAACUUAAACGUGACGUCUUGCGCGGGAGUACUAAUUUAUUACCGGAACGAGCGCACCUAUUGCCACAAAAAUUGGUCAUCCCGAUCGUUCUCCUUAUUCUGAUGGAGCUGGGGCGGGUCGGACAACCCAAAAAGCAAGGAUCAUCCCCGGUGCAUUUAGCGCUAAGAAGCCGAAAAGCGAACAGUGUAAACCGGUCAAAAAUGAAGGAAUACGCCAUCCCGAAAAGCUCCCGUCGGAGCAGAGCAGCUUCGUGACACAGCGGAUGGUCCACAUCAAGUCGAAUGCGAACAAGAUCGUCCGAAAGCCGCUGCUCAAGAAUCGGGAAACAAAGUUUUGGAAACAGGAAUUCUCAUUGCCGAUUACCGGAGAGUCGGGCGGGACCAGAUGUGCAUCAAACCGAACUUUAUGAAGACGGGAGUGUCGUUGAAAUAUGAGAAGGUGGAACAUGGUCGACUCAUUCUGGUGUUCCAGCACCGGGGCAAGAAUAUUGCUAAUAAGGAGGCGAUGCCGCCAUGGCCAGGCUAGGAUUGCCUAUAAGCGUAGGUCGGUUUUCUCAAGCAGACCGAGGGUGUGGACGCGACGCUUAAAAUGGUAGAA